UUUCCCUUCAACGAAGGGGUCAAAUUCAUGGAAGCCACGUGCCUGCUGCUUCUGGCCUACACAAACAUGCAGCCACCAUAGUAAAGUUCUUGCAAAGACAUUCUACACGAACUUGCCCAAAGGUGGAAGGAAGGCACGCACAGAUGGACGCACAGAAAUCAUGGGGCUGCCGUAGAAGCUACGUACAGAAAGGAGCGAAGUGGAGCUGUCCAUGGGCCGUGCACACAGUUUCAUAAGCAGGCUUGCAACACUUUUGACAAAUAUGUUCCUAAAUACAUCUGCCAAA